UUUCAGCCAAUUAAGCUGACUGUGCCCUUUCUUCAUGGGAACCCAGUAUGCAAUAGCUGCAAAAAGUAGCCUCCUCAGUAGUGUAUAUAGACUGCUGCUUGUAUAGGUUGCCCUAAGGGACCUUGGAGACAACC